UACGUAGGGGGCAAGCGUUGUCCGGAUUUAUUGGGCGUAAAGAGCGUGUAGGCGGUUUGGUAGGUCCGCUGUGAAAACUCGAGGCUCAACUUCGAGACGCCGGUGGAAACCAUCAGACUAGAGUCCGGAAGAGGAGAGUGGAAUUCCUGGUGUAGCGGUGGAAUGCGCAGAUAUCAGGAGGAACACCGGUGGCGAAGGCGGGUCUCUGGGCCGAUACUGACACUGAGAAGCGAAAGCGUGGGGAGCGAACAGG
rnacentral:rRNA from 1 species